UAUACCAUGGAUAAAAAUGGGUCAAAUCUAAGGUAUAUCAACUCCCCCAGACUUACCCUUUUGCUUGUCCUCAAGCAAAACAUACAGGCAGUCUCUCUGAAAGAGGUUUGAAAAUAUUUAGGGAUUUAAGAUUUUAAAAACAUAGAAACCUUUCCUCAACAAUUUUGCAACCACAUUUAAAAAGUCAUAAUCACAAAAGCACCCUAUGCAAUAUCCUAGCUUAGCAACCAUUUCUAACAUAACACA
rnacentral:lncRNA from 1 species